AUGGCCUCUUCGGGGUUUCGGGGUGACGUUUCCCAGGUGCGUGGCGGCCGUGAUCCCGUCUUCUCUGAGGCCAUCAACCAGAAGAUGCGUGUCCCGGACCGGCUGAGAGUGGGGCCAGGCAUGGGACAGGGAGGGGAAGAGGCGAGGCAGGGGCGUGCUGAGCGUCCCGCUUCCUAUAGCAUGCACAUCCCAGACAGGCUGUCUCUCACAGAUGCCCCGGACAUGAGCCCCCGUCCAUUGUUCACACCAUCCAAGCACAACUCAGCCCUCCCCCUGGGACUUGCAUGGGAGGCACAGCAGCAAGGUGCCUGGGACAGAGACCCCUACAUGAGGGAACCAGUGCAGAGUCCCCUGCGGAGGUCCUACAGUGACCAGGCUUUUGGCAGGAGUGACCCUGACACCCCCACCUCCAAACAGGCACUGCACACCCCCACCUUUCGUGGCGGUGCAGGAUGCCCCCCUAAGCGCUCCGCUGCUGCUGCAAACCCCCUGCCCAUGCCCCUGGGGCUCCCUGCCAUCCCACCCAGCCACCUGUCCCCAACGACCAUGCUACAGGCCGCCAAGGAACUGGGCCAACAGGCCUCACAGCGCCUCCUGCAGACUGUCACACAGAAAUACAGGUUAGGGGCUAGGGGCAACUCCUACCUUCUCCGUCCUGAGUGA
rnacentral:lncRNA from 1 species